rnacentral:tRNA from 1 species
GGACAGGUGCCAGAGCGGUUGAUUGGGCACGCCUGGAGAGCGUGUGGUCGCCAAAAGCGGCCCGAGGGUUCGAAUCCCUCCCUGUCCG